rnacentral:rRNA from 1 species
GUGAGGAAUAUUGGUCAAUGGGCGGGAGCCUGAACCAGCCAAGUCGCGUGAAGGAAGAAGGAUCUAUGGUUCGUAAACUUCUUUUGCAGGGGAAUAAAGUGCAGGACGUGUCCUGUUUUGUAUGUACCCUGAGAAUAAGGAUCGGCUAACUCCGUGCCAGCAGCCGCGGUAAUACGGAGGAUCCGAGCGUUAUCCGGAUUUAUUGGGUUUAAAGGGUGCGUAGGUGGUUUGAUAAGUCAGCGGUGAAAGUUUGCAGCUUAACUGUAAAAAUGCCGUUGAAACUGUCGGACUUGAGUGUAAAUGAGGUAGGCGGAAUGCGUAGUGUAGCGGUGAAAUGCAUAGAUAUCACGCAGAACUCCGAUUGCGAAGGCAGCUUACUAAGCUACAACUGACACUGAAGCACGAAAGCGUGGGGAUCAAACAGGAUUAGAUACCCGAGUAGUCC